GAGUUUGAUCUUGGCUCAGAUUGAACGCUGGCGGCAUGCCUUACACAUGCAAGUCGAACGGCAGCAUGAUCUAGCUUGCUAGAUUGAUGGCGAGUGGCGAACGGGUGAGUAAUACAUCGGAACGUGCCCUGUAGUGGGGGAUAACUAGUCGAAAGAUUAGCUAAUACCGCAUACGACCUGAGGGUGAAAGUGGGGGACCGCAAGGCCUCAUGCUAUAGGAGCGGCCGAUGUCUGAUUAGCUAGUUGGUGGGGUAAAGGCCCACCAAGGCGACGAUCAGUAGCUGGUCUGAGAGGACGAUCAGCCACACUGGGACCGAGACACGGCCCAGACUCCUACGGGAGGCAGCAGUGGGGAAUUUUGGACAAUGGGCGAAAGCCUGAUCCAGCAAUGCCGCGUGUGUGAAGAAGGCCU
rnacentral:rRNA from 1 species